GUGCUAGCUUUGACAGCACAAUACUAAUAUUGGAACAAUAUAGAGAUUAGGUGGCCCUGCACAAGGAUACACAAAUUUGUGAAGCAGUCUAUAUUUUG
rnacentral:snRNA from 1 species